UGAUGCAGUCGACGAACUCUGGUAUUGAUUGGUGCUUGCAUCAUGAUUUACAUUUGAGUGAGUGGCGAACUGGUGAGUAACACGUGGGAAACCUGCCCAGAAGCGGGGGAUAACACCUGGAAACAGAUGCUAAUACCGCAUAACAACUUGGACCGCAUGGUCCGAGUUUGAAAGAUGGCUUCGGCUAUCACUUUUGGAUGGUCCCGCGGCGUAUUAGCUAGAUGGUGGGGUAACGGCUCACCAUGGCAAUGAUACGUAGCCGACCUGAGAGGGUAAUCGGCCACAUUGGGACUGAGACACGGCCCAAACUCCUACGGGAGGCAGCAGUAGGGAAUCUUCCACAAUGGACGAAAGUCUGAUGGAGCAACGCCGCGUGAGUGAAGAAGGGUUUCGGCUCGUAAAACUCUGUUGUUAAAGAAGAACAUAUCUGAGAGUAACUGUUCAGGUAUUGACGGUAUUUAACCAGAAAGCCACGGCUAACUACGUGCCAGCAGCCGCGGUAAUACGUAGGUGGCAAGCGUUGUCCGGAUUUAUUGGGCGUAAAGCGAGCGCAGGCGGUUUUUUAAGUCUGAUGUGAAAGCCUUCGGCUCAACCGAAGAAGUGCAUCGGAAACUGGGAAACUUGAGUGCAGAAGAGGACAGUGGAACUCCAUGUGUAGCGGUGAAAUGCGUAGAUAUAUGGAAGAACACCAGUGGCGAAGGCGGCUGUCUGGUCUGUAACUGACGCUGAGGCUCGAAAGUAUGGGUAGCAAACAGGAUUAGAUACCCUGGUAGUCCAUACCGUAAACGAUGAAUGCUAAGUGUUGGAGGGUUUCCGCCCUUCAGUGCUGCAGC
rnacentral:rRNA from 1 species